GACGAACGCUGGCGGCGUGCUUAACACAUGCAAGUCGAACGGAAAGGCCCUGCUUUUGUGGGGUGCUCGAGUGGCGAACGGGUGAGUAACACGUGAGUAACCUGCCCUUGACUUUGGGAUAACUUCAGGAAACUGGGGCUAUACCGGAUAGGAGCUCCUGCUGCCUGGUGGGGGUUGGAAAGUUUCGGCGGUUGGGGAUGGACUCGCGGCUUAUCAGCUUGUUUGUGGGGUAGUGGCUUACCAAGGCUUUGACGGGUAGCCGGCCUGAGAGGGUGACCGGCCACAUUGGGACUGAGAUACGGCCCAGACUCCUACGGGAGGCAGCAGUGGGGAAUAUUGCACAAUGGGCGGAAGCCUGAUGCAGCAACGCCGCGUGCGGGAUGACGGCCUUCGGGUUGUAAACCGCUUUCGCCUGUGACGAAGCGUGAGUGACGGUAAUGGGUAAAGAAGCACCGGCUAACUACGUG
rnacentral:rRNA from 1 species